rnacentral:rRNA from 1 species
AUUGAACGCUGGCGGCAGGCUUAACACAUGCAAGUCGAACGAGUGGCGGACGGGUGAGUAAUGCUUGGGAAUCUAGCUUAUGGAGGGGGAUAACUACGGGAAACUGUAGCUAAUACCGCGUACCAUAGGAUGAGCCCAAGUGGGAUUGGGUAGUUGGUGGGGUAAAGGCUCACCAAGCCGACGAUAUCUCGCUGGUCUGAGAGGAUGAACAGCCACACUGGGACUGAGACACGGCCCAGACUCCUACGGGAGGCAGCAGUGGGGAAUAUUGCGAAAGGGGGGAAACCUGACGCAGCCAUGCCGCGGGAAUGAAGAAGGCCUUCGGGUUGUAAAGUUCGUUCGGUAGCGAGGCGUUAACUACAGAAGAAGCACCGGCUAACUCCGUGCCAGCAGCCGCGGUAAUAC